rnacentral:rRNA from 1 species
UACGAAGGGGGCUAGCGUUGCUCGGAAUGACUGGGCGUAAAGCGCGCGCAGGCGGUCCUUCAAGUCAGAGGUGAAAGCCCAGAGCUCAACUCUGGAACGGCCUUUGAAACUAGAGGACUUGGGUACGGGAGAGGUGAGUGGAAUUCCGAGUGUAGAGGUGAAAUUCGUAGAUAUUCGGAAGAACACCAGUGGCGAAGGCGGCUCACUGGCCCGUUACCGACGCUCAGGCGCGACAGCGUGGGGAGCAAACAGG